rnacentral:lncRNA from 1 species
UGCAGGCAUUGGUGCGAAUGGACCGUCACAUACCGUAUGAAAAACGAAUGGCUCGAGUCGAAGAAGUCAUACAAGAGGUCAGUAUCAUAAAAAACAUUGGUGUGUACAAUUACACAUUCAAUAAUAAUUUUAUUGUAUUUUUACUCUAUCUGCAGCUAUCGUUGACAAAAUGUAAAAACACAAUAAUAGGUGUGACCGGAAGAAUAAAGGGUUUAUCAGGCGGUGAAAUGAAACGUUUGUCGUUUGCUUCCGAGGUAAGAAACAAUCGUAUAAGACAAAAAAUAAUAUUUUCAAUUAACAUUACUACGAUGCACAAUAUCAUAACAACUGGCAGUAUUUUUCGCAUGAACAAUAAGAAAACUACAACACGUCAACACAACGAUGUGAUAUUAUUAUUUUAUAACAUUUUAACAUUGUAUUCAAAAAUCAACUACCUAUACCAAUACACUUUAAACUGUUUAUAAACGACGAGUAUAACAAAAAUAUAAACAUUAUAAUAUUCUAUAGACGCAGGCGAGGAUUUCGAUUUUAUUUAAAAAAAUGUUGGACACCUCAUACUCGUCUAUUAAAUGGAUAGAUACACUAAAUCAGUAGCGUCCCAAAACCCAUUUAUAAGGGGGGGGGGACGAAAUUCAUACAUUAUAUGUGUAUAUAUAAAUAUAUAAACAAACUAAUUACUAGGUAGUUUACCAGGUUUCACUUGGGGUGUAUAAUAUCAUAUAUGGCAUAUUAUAUAGAUUCGAAAAACAGUGUAAUAAUUAAAAUCAAAAUGUUUAAAAUUGCACGUAUUUAAGUAUAAAUUAAUAAUAGAAGUAAUUUUGUAAUAAAUUGAGAAAACACAAUUUAUAAAUUAUAAGUACUUAUUUACAUCUCAUUUAGAGUUUUAUAAAAAAAAUAGUUGAACCUGAAUAUUUGAUUAAAGAAUGAAAUCGACUUUGUGUUUUAAUUAAUCAAUUAAUUAUAUUAUGUUAUUUGUAUGUAAUAGAAUAUUAUUAUGAAUAUGCAUAAGCACCAAACCGAUCAAUCGUGCUUUCCCUAUUUGAUUUCUCAGCCAAGUUUUUAAUCUAAUAAGCAUAAAAAAACAAGGAAAUAAUUAUAAAGCAAAAACAAAAAUAUGAUAAAAAGCUUAAAAAAUAUAAAUAUAAAUGGUCAAAUAUUCAUUUAACACAUAAAAUUCAUUAUUUAUAAAAGUAUUAACUUUCUUUUGGGAAAUUAGUUCAAAUAUACAAGAAAUUUGAUAGGAUAUUAUAGAUUUCUGGUAUUAAAAUUAUGGGUUUUCAUUUAAAAAUCAAAAGUUGAUACUCAUAUAGGGUAAAACAAGAUAUUAAAAAUAUCAUACCACUAAAAAGUUCAACAUUUUAAUAGUUAAACUAAUUUCCCAAAAGAAAAUUCCAAAAAAGUGAAUUAUAUUCAAAUGAAUGUUGUGUUGUAUCAGUCUGUCUGUACCUAUAUAGGUAUGUGUAGCUCAUAAUGGAUAUGUUUCUGUGUUUUAAGUUUAAUAAAUCUAGUUAUUAUAAUAUUUAAUACUCAGUGGGCAUUAUACAUUUUCUAAUUAUUUUACAUAAUAAGUAAAACUUCUGUUUAGUUCAAUAAAUAACACAUUUUUAAACUAUUUUAUUAAACUACAACUUUUAAUACAACAUUUAAGUAAUUUAACAAACUAUUUAUUAAGCCCAAGGGAAUCACUGAUCGCGAAAUACAAGAAAUAAAUAUAAAAUAAAAUACGAUAAUAGUGCCUACGUACUUAGAGUGAUUACUGAUCAUCCAAUUAUUAUAACUAGUAUAAUGUUAGAAAAACGUUAUAUUAUUAUUUGUAUUUUUUCAUAAAAAUUGUCUAUAUAAAAUCCCUUAAAAAUUGUUCUCCAUGUAGAGGCUGACAAAUUUGUGAUAGAAUACAGUUUUUAUAAUAUCAAUCUAAUAUAGGUGUUGACAGACCCUCCGUUGAUGUUCUGUGAUGAGCCCACGUCGGGACUAGACUCGUUUAUGGCUCAAAAUGUAGUUAGCGUACUUAAGUCGAUGGCGUCUAAGGGCAAAACGAUAAUUUGUACCAUUCACCAGCCGUCUUCAGAAGUAUACUCUAUGUUCGACAAGAUAUUGUUGGUGGCCAGCGGCCGAACGGCCUUUCUUGGUACACCAAACGAAGCCAUCGAGUUUUUCAAAACGUAAUAGUAAUAUAAACAGUUGAGGUAAUAACAAUAUUUAUUUUUGUUCGGUUUUUCGUAGGCUCGGCGUCAGUUGCCCGAAGAAUCACAAUCCAGCGGAUUUUUUCAUCCAACUACUCGCCAUCGUACCGUCUCAAGAGCGGUGCUCGUACGACACCAUCGACACGGUUUGCGAGGCGUACGAAAGUUCGCAAUACAAGCGCGACAUGAUAGAAUAUCAAAAACGGUUGUCUUCGAAUGGCAGGGUAAGAUUCUAUAAAUUAUGACUUCGGGGGGGAGGGGAGCAAAAUAAUAUAGCCCUUUCUCGACUUAAAAGUCAGCACUUGAUAACACAAAAUAAAUAAAAAAUUGGACAUAUUUUUGUGAAAUAUAAUCUUCUCAUAAUUCUUCUCAUUUACCUUCAUCCCAACUGUUUAGGAUCGGCCAUUCUAGUCUUAUACUUCCACAUGAGCCGAUCUUAUAUCACUCAUCAACCGGCUGUCCUCAUACCAUUCUUAGUCGCAUCUAACUACUUUUUUUCGAUCUUCCUCUCUCCUUCUUUCCUCCUGCGUCUAUUUUCAUUACAAUUCUUACUGCUUCUGAUUCCUCUCUCCUUAUGGCUGCCCAAACUUUUUCAUUCUAUUUUCUCUAAUUUUGUCCACUAUCUAAGCUAUACCUAAGUUACCUCUUGUCUACUCAUUUAUUAUACUAUCUGCUCUUAUAACUCCACUUAUUUACCUAAGCAUUUUUAUCUCUGCUACACUUAUUAUCUCUUCUAUUUUAUUAUCGACCGCUCUAUACUCCAAACCAUACAACAUAGUCGGUCUCACCACGGUUUUGUAGAACUUACCUUAUAAGUCUUAUUGGGAUUCUCUUAUUACAUGAAAUGGCAGACGUUAGACUUACCCAACCACACUUAAACUUAUAUUUCACAUCCUUGUCAAAGUUACCGAUCUUUCGUACAAAAUAUCCUAGGUACUUAAAUACUAUCAUGUAUUACUUAUUGUUGUUAACUGUCUUGUCCUAUUGUUACAAACUCAUACUCUUAAUACUUUGUUUUACAACUACUUAUUCUUAGUAUCUUUUAUACAAGUGCUACUCUCCAUUCCACAAGCCUAUUACUAACUUCUUUCGAAUUUUCUCCUAUCAAAGCUAUAUCAUCUGCAAACAUCAUGCACCAUCUUCUCAUUUGCUGUUCUCGCUUACACCCGAGAUAGGAAAACCUACUCAAGUCUUGUUUAGAACUCCUCAUACUGUUUGACAGAAUUUUACACCAGCUAUCAACCUGAUGCAAUUCCAUUUGUCGCUUCUUACAAUAAAUAGUGGUCCUGUGGGAGUGUUCUCCUUCAAGGAGAAUGAUAUUUUCAACUAUAAGGUGAAUUCCUCUACCUUACAGAAACAAUAUCAUAUAAAUACUGGAAUCACCCACCUGGAAAUUCCACCAGUUAGAGCUCGGGACCCCGGAUUUACUAAACCCGUAGCAUUAUAUUCCCCUCGUGUGGUUAAAUACCUGUAUAUAUAAUACUAGCUGAAUUACCUGGCGUUACAGUUAGCAUUCAGUUAUGAAUCAGUCAAGACUUCUUCUUUUAACCUUACCUAACCUAACCUUACAUAUACAGAUAUAUAUUAUUAUUAUUUGUGACAACCAAAUUAUCAACUAUGUCAUCAAGGUAACCUUUAAAUCAACAAAUAAAAUUGAAUUAAUGUUCCAAAAUUACCAAAAAUCCAACUGCCGGCUAGGUGUGCCAUCCGACGUUUUCCGGACCAAUUUUUUUGUUAUUUCAUCUGUUUCACCAAUGAUCAUCGUCUCGUGAUUAAACUAAAAUAAAUAAAUAAAAAUUAGAUAUCCGUACAAAAAAUACCUUAAAAUUCUUAAUUUACCACCUUAGGGGUUAAAUUUUCAAAAACCCUUUCUUAGUGGAUGCCUGCAUCAUAGUAAUAGUUAUCUGUAUUCCGAAUUUCCGCCCAACCCAUCUAGUGCAGUGGUUUGUGUUCGACGAAGAUGAAUCAUUCAAUCAGGACAUGUUAUUUAUAAAUAAAUAAAUAUAUAUAUAUAUAUAUAGAGAGAGAGAUGUAUAUUAUAUGUAGACAGUAAGAAUCACAAUGCCAAUUAUGAUGAAAUAAUCUUAAGAAUUACUUUAUAGUUUAUAAAGAAUACAAUAAUUUUUAAAAUGUUAUAUUGUAAACACGUUGAACAAAAAAAAAAAAAAAAAAAACAAUUUAAUACCAAUUCAUUUUUUGUAACUCAAUAAGUUUUUUUUCUUUGCAGGAUUCGUUGGAUAAAAGUAAUUGGGACUCAGAUGGUUUACAAAACGUUUCGUCACCGUACAAGGCCUCAUGGACUGAACAGUUUUCCGCCGUGUUUUGGCGGUCGUGGCUAAGUAUAAAAAAAGAACCGGCUCUCACCAAAAUCAGGCUCAUCCAAACUAUUGUAAUAAUGAUAUGUGGAAAGGAUCUCGACUUUAUCUAAUCCCCGAUGCGUUAUUUUUUAGAUGGUUGCCGCUCUGAUAAGUUUCAUAUUUUACAACCAGCACUUGGACCAGGACGGUGUAAUGAACAUCAACGGGGCGCUGUUCAUGUGCAUAUCUAACAUGACGUUCCAAAACGUACUGGCAGUCAUAAACGUGAGUACCAUUAAAUACUAUGGCUAGAAAACAAGAUGUGUGAUUGUGUCAAGUGAUUAAAUGGAUGAGGAAGAAGUGGUUAUGAGGGCACAUGAAGUUUAACAAAGAUAUGAUGAUGGAGAUAUAGAGAUAAGGUAGCUGAUCUCAAACUUAAGUGGGAUAAAGACGAAUUCACUGACUUUAGUUUUUGUUUGAAUGGAUUGUGUAAAAUCAUUUUCCUAUUAUAUUUCCAUGGUAUAACAAGAAUUUCAAAACAUUUUUUUUUUUCUUGGCUUGCGGGUGUUUCCUUCAAAAUACGCUCCCGAGUAUACAAACCUGUGUUUUUACCUCUGCAGGUAUUCUGUUCCGAACUACCAGUGUUCAUGCGUGAACACCACAAUGGCAUGUACCGAACGGACGUGUACUUCCUAAGUAAGACAUUCGCCGAGAUACCUAUAUUCUUGGUGAUACCAGUACUGUUUACAUCCAUCAUGUACUAUAUAGUGGGUCUAAAUCCAAAGUUCGUUCAUUUUCUCACAGCCGUCUUAUUCAUAACGCUCGUCAGUUUGGUAGCCGUUUCGUUUGGUAAGUGUAUAAUUUCGGCCCAAACCUAACCUAACCUUGUAGGUACUGGUCAACGUUAGAUUGCAAAAAUACCCGAGCACAAAAUAAAAUAAAACUGCGUAUACAUACGCUUAAAUCUAUUGUAGUUUUAUAAUUCUUAUUAUGAUGUACGUUUACAGGUUAUUUCGUGUCGUGCGCAAGCGGUAACAUAUCAGUAGCGCUUUCUGUAGGACCCACGAUCGUCAUACCUUUCCUGUUGUUCGGAGGUUACUUUCUGAAUGUCGGGUGAGUACCUAUGUAGUAUAUAAUGCACAUAGUCAAUCGAUUGACUCUUAUACCUAUCGUGAUAUCCUCUACAUAGUCAAUUUACUGUAUCACGUACACCCUAAGUCCCGACCUAUAGAAUAUUGUAUAGUCGAAUAAAUAAUAUAACCUAUUAAUUUGGGUUCAAGAUCGAUUCCGUCCUACUUCCGAUGGUUGAGUGUAUUUUCGUGGUUCAAGUACGCCAACGAGGGACUUCAGAUUAACCAGUGGGCGGACAUCGACAAAAUCCAGUGCAACAGAGUUAACACCACAUGUCCGAGUUCCGGAUACGCUGUCUUGGAAUCAAAUAAUUUUGUAGAGGUAAAGGAAACAAAAAUACCAGUUACACUUUUACUUCUUUUCUUUCUUAUUUUUUUACGGGGAAAUUUUUUAUUUAAGAAAUUAUUUAUGCAUUUCCAACCAUUAAAAGGCAUUCCAAAGGAAACGACGUCAAUUAAAUGAAACUAAUAAAGUCGUGAUAAUCGUUGGUCAAGAUGAGUGGUGGCACUGUUAAUGGUUAUUAAAUGGUAACAGUCACUGUUGAGAUUUUCAAUAGUCACAUGGUUUUUUUUAACUAUAAUGUAUUUACCUAAGUAAUACAUCUUGACUUGACAUUUAUUUUGAUUCUUCCAUUCCUUGAUACAUUGAAUUACCUAUUAUAAAACACGCGAAUAGUCUUAAUUCGUCUGUUCAUGGAAUUAACGGCCACCGAUCGGUCCGUUAUUUGCAUUUUCUAUUUUCAUGGAAAACCUUCGUAAUUGUCCCCGCGACGACGACGGUCCUUCUGUACUUACAUAGCAUUUAUAUUUUAAUUAUUUUUAAAUGCUAUUGAAGUUGAUUCAAUAAACAGGUUAUAAAAUAUAAAUUAACGUUUUAUCAGUUUGUUUUUUUUUUUUGUUUUUAGUCAAACCUCACCAUGGACAUAAUUUCGUUGUUCCUGUUGAUCGUCGUAUUCCGAUUCUUGGCGUAUCUAUCUCUGCUAAUCAGAGCAUCCAGAAAGUAACUGACCAACCUGAUCGAUAUACAUAUAAUAAUAAUAUAUGAUAAUAUUAUACUCGCACACACAUCACACACAUACACACAUUUAAUAUGUAAUAUAGUACACAUGAAAAUGAUAUAAGCAGUUUACACGGAUUUCACGAAAUAUUCGUAAAAGCCUAAACCGUAUUUUUUAAAGAUUAUUUAAACGGACGCAGCUAUUCGUGUAUCUCGAUCGAGAAAAAUGUACUAUUAUACAUUAUUAUUAUACGCACUUUUUAUAUACGUGCAUUAAGAUCGUCUCGUUUUGUACAUAUAAGUAAUAUUAUACGUUAUUAUUUAAGAUUCCCCAAACAAAUAGGUAUGGUAAUAAUAAUUCACAUUUAAACUAAAUUCUCAAUAAAAGGAAAACACUAUAUUAUAUUAUCCUUAUGUAAUAUAGUAUUUUACGAACUCCUUGCCAUCAUAAUAUUAUCAUUUAUUAUCGUCAAACAGCAAAAUACGAGUCCAUUAAAUAUAUUUAUGAAAUUUAUUUUUAAUAUUAAUUAUAAGUAAAAAUGAUUCCAUAUGGACCAGAUGCGUCCCUUCUCCCUCCCCCCGGAUGUAAAAUUCUCACGGGGAAAUAAUAAACAUUAUAACACCUAUAACCUACUCUCAGUUUUACAUUUUUAUUAAUUUUUGUAUAUAUUACCUAUUAUAUAGGUAUAAUCAGUCCACGUAACACGACACGUCAAUAUUUAAUUUUAAUUUUAUAAGUAAACAUACAUAUAAAUAUUUUUUUUAGGCAUUGUUGUUCGUUUGAUGAUUUUUAUUUUGUUUGUUCUCAUAUACCUUAUACCUAAAUUAAAAUAUUUGUAAUAAAAUUAUAAUACACGUGUUAAGCAUUUAUAUACAUGAACGAUUCUAUUAUUUGUAGUGUUUAUAUUAUAUAGGUAUACUAUACUAUACAAUUACUGUUGUUAAAUUAUUAUUAUAUUGUAACAAGCGUGCGAUUUCGUAAAUUUAUUAUAAAUCAUUGUAAAGUACCAUUGUAACAUAACCUCAUUAAUUUUAUACAUAAUUGUAUUAUUACAUGUUGUAAUGUUGUAUUCUAUAACCUAUUAACACACACAGUCAGUGCCGGUUUGGGUGUUUUAGCCAACCGUGCUCAACAUCCAACAUGAUUUAUAAGGUGAAGUGCUUGGGGUACACUAUCUCUUACACACAAUUUUCGGAACGUGUGGGUUAACUGUUUUUUACCUAAAAACAUAUCAUAUAAUUUGUAAGAUUUAACCCCUGAUCAAAAAAAACAAGUGUAAGUAUAUCACUAAAACUAAUUCACAAACGAUCUCAUCUAAAUAUCGUGAGAAAAGCAACAUGAGUCCGAUGACCAAUAAAUAAUAGAAUAAAAAAUUGUCUACUAUUUUCACUUUUUAUUUGUAUAACAUCUAUUUGAUAUGGCAUUAUUUUUUACCAGUAGAACAUCUUUCCUUCGCCUUCAUUCUAAAUAUUUGGGAUUAGUCAUCCUCAAUCUUUUUUUUAAACUUUUCUUUUGGAAAUCAAUAAUUUGUUUUUAAAUAGUAAUAUUUAAAUACAGUAAUACUAAUAUUAUUAUUAUUUAUUUAGACGGGUAGUAGCUAGUAGCCCAAUAAUUACAGUGUAAUUGGCCCGGUGCAGCUUAUGCUCACAAAUUUGUAUUUUGUAUUUAUAUUAAUAACACGUUUUUCUAUAUAUUUUUGACAAAACAAUUUGUUCCAGUCAUCAACUUUAGUGAUGGUUUCUGACAACAAAAUUUUGUUUAGUUGGUGCAUUGAGAAGGUAAUUUUUCCUUGUGUUUAUUCGACAACAGAGAAAAACAUCGGACAAACAGAAUAUUACAGCUAUUAUUUAUUGAUUUUAUAUUUUUGUUGUAAUUCAGAGAAAAAUAAUUAUUUA